UGUAUAUAGUAGAAACAUUAACUUUGACCGUACACUUUAGUCAAAAGGGCCAUCGAUUAAAUCGUUCCCAGCCGGAUUUCAACCCGUCAAAUAGUUAACAGCAUCACUGUGAGCUGGACUUUGCUCCGGACAGGUGAACAGAAGCAGCUACCUUAUUAAGUGUUUCCAUUUGUGUUGACUAAAACAGGGUCCUUUUGCAAAUCAGGGUGAUACAAACAGCAGAUUAAUCAGUUUCUAAUUAAAUGAUGGCAGCGUGCAUGUUUAAUUAAAUAGACUGUUUAAACAAUUCUUUAUCAUGGCACUGGAGACCAGCAGAGCAUCCCAUGGCAUGACCUUGAGAUGGUGCGAGACAAGCCUAUCCCACUCAGGUGCCUGUGGACGUCCCUCGGGGACAUCCUGCCAGGAGGAGUUAAGGAUUUGGUUGGUUGGUUUAGUUUGUGUUUAGGUGAUGGCUGCUGUCAAAUCAGCUUUUUCAUUUUGUCAUUGGGGCCUCACCGGAUCAUAGAAACCAGAGAGGGAAGAGACUUAUUGGGUUGAUCCUGCAACCCCACCUAGGUCAUUAUUCAGGCCCAUUAUGUCCAGAUGUGCUCACGGAUGUACAUACGCAGCCUCUGCCGACUGCAGCGAGAGUCACAUGUAUGCGUGAGAGCUGGGUGAGGAGGCAAAGCCUGCCCUGAAUUACGCACCAUGCAGCCCAACUGAAUUCUUACCCAGGGCAGAAACUGAGCCACGUUCUCUAUUGGGAGCUAAUAUUCUCUGCCCAAGGGGCCGUUCUGCGUUGUUUGCAGGCCCAAGACUCCCAGUGGGGUCGAUGGAAAGUUGAGGUCUGAAAGACAUACAGAUUCGGGCCCGGAUUACUGAUUUAUACAAGCUCCUCCCAUGAUAACCCUCUUCUUUCCCUUUGUUUCACAGCAGCUCCAAAGUCCAGCACCAACCUGGGUUUGGGUUUUGAUCAUUGUGCCAGCAGGGUUUGGCUGCCGGCCUGAGAACCUGCAGGGAACUUUUGGACGGAGGAGAGUUUUGUGGUCAAGCUGCAGAAUGGGACCUCUGACCAAGCCUGCAGCAGCAUUGGGGCCAGGAGAUAUAAGCCUUUACCCCUGCGAGGAGUCCCAGCUAAGCUGUUUGCAUGAGUAAGGUCUAUUCACAUAAGAGUCUGCCGGAUCAGGCCUCUCCUUUGUGGCCCUGUGUCGGCAUGAGAGAGACCACAAGAGCGUAUCUGCUACCAGAAAAUGGCUCUGCUGAUCGAUCGAUAUCCAAACACGCAUGCAUCAUGCUGCAUAGACAGCUAGUUAUUGACAGAGCCAGCCAGCUACAAUGAGUCAUGUCAAGUGCAAGGAUAAGCCCUCGGGAGGUGCCGCUCCUCUCUCACCAGCCUAGCUUUGUCUCCACCUACGGCUUUGCUCCAGCCACAAUCUGUGUGGCAACUGGGACAAGCUAUAGUUUGUUGAGUUUUUUUACUAGCCAGCAAUAAAAUCUAACCCAUAUUGGUUGACGAGAAGAUGACGUGUUUCCCCCGGGUGUAAGUUUGGGUGGCAGGGGUCUGUUUCAUUUCUAGUCAGUGCCCAGGGACUGUAAUUUCAGUCUAUUGAAGUCAUAAUUUACUACUGUGAAAAUAAACAUUUGUGUUAGCUUGUUUUAUUCUGUGGGCUUCGUAUGAAUGUUAAUAAUUCACAACCUGCAUGCUUCUACAUGGGGCUGCACAGCCUGGCUGAUUGCACAAACCCUCCGCCAGCACACAGCAUGCUUCCCCCGUGUUCCUUUUGCAUGGGUCUCACACACAACAGAUACCUUGGUAUGUUUCCCCCAGGGGUUCUAUCGCUCAAGACAGAUAGGAGAUGAUGAGAGAAGUGCCACUUAGCGCUAAGCCACGGAUAACGAGGAAAUCAGUAGGAAGGCGGCUGUGAGAUAAAGGAGAUUCCAUCAGCAAGGCCAUUUUCAAGGGUCCCAGGGCAGAGGAGCACCCCCAUGAGAACGUGUGGCUCACCAGGCUAGCGGGGACAGCCUGUGCUUUGAAGGGGGGAACAAAGACGCUGCCCUUUUAGCUUCUCAGCUGGAGCAGAGGGAAGGUUGGUUUCCCUUUUACCGGCAUGUUUAUCCAUCUCUCUGCUUCCUGUUGGGGAUGAUCCAGUCGCCCAGCAAUAGUGCAGGAGCGCACCCCCCACAGUGACAUUACAGCUCAGGGCAAGUGGAACCAGCGAGGCAUUUAACCAAGCAGCACAGCAUUGCGGCUGCAGCCGUGGGAUUUCCUGCAGUGCAUAUCUGUGUGCAUGAGGCACGUGCAAAUACAUAUGCGCACGGUUCUGUCGGCACAA